rnacentral:rRNA from 1 species
CAGUCGAGCGGCAGCACGGGGAGCUUGCUCCCUGGUGGCGAGCGGCGGACGGGUGAGUAAUGCAUAGGAAUCUGCCCGGUAGUGGGGGAUAACCUGGGGAAACCCAGGCUAAUACCGCAUACGUCCUACGGGAGAAAGCAGGGGACCUUCGGGCCUUGCGCUAUCGGAUGAGCCUAUGUCGGAUUAGCUGGUUGGUGAGGUAAUGGCUCACCAAGGCGACGAUCCGUAGCUGGUCUGAGAGGAUGAUCAGCCACAUCGGGACUGAGACACGGCCCGAACUCCUACGGGAGGCAGCAGUGGGGAAUAUUGGACAAUGGGCGCAAGCCUGAUCCAGCCAUGCCGCGUGUGUGAAGAAGGCCCUCGGGUUGUAAAGCACUUUCAGUGGGGAAGAAAGCCUUCCGGUUAAUACCCGGGAGGAGGGACAUCACCCACAGAAGAAGCACCGGCUAACUCCGUGCCAGCAGCCGCGGUAAUACGGAGGGUGCGAGCGUUAAUCGGAAUUACUGGGCGUAAAGCGCGCGUAGGCGGCUUGAUAAGCCGGUUGUGAAAGCCCCGGGCUCAACCUGGGNAACGGCAUCCNGAACUGUCAUGCUANAGUGCAG